CAGCCAUCUUGGACCAUAGGUGAAAGCAGCAUUUUGGGGAUAGUGGAAACUCAAGAAAGAGGCAGCCAGGUUUCUGGUAGUCAUGGAGAUGUCAUACCAGCCUGAAUUGCCUGUGUUUAUUGCAUGUGAGAAAGAGGAAGACUUUUACCUUAUUUGCCUUAUUAUUACCUAAACAUUUGCCUUACUUAAGCCAUUGAUAUUUGAGGAAGUCUGUCCCUUGCGACUGAAACUAAUCCUAACACAAAAGGAAACAGAGGCUCAGAGAAGCUAAGACAUUUGCACAGGACCACAGCUGCCAUCAGCAGCUUCUGCGGGUCCUCUGCCAUGUGACAGCUGCCACGCCCACCCUGUGCCUGCACAUACUACUCCUGGCCUCGUCAACCACCCAGCCGUGCUGCCAAAUGCCCUGGGACACAGCAAUGGGCAUUUCUGUGAGCAUCUCCCCAAGACCCUGGCACUCUGAAGGCCUGAGUGUUCUCCCCCUGGUUUAAUGUAUAGAACCCAUGCCAUCAGCGUCCUGAAGGGAAACACCGACCACAUCACUUUCUGCUCACAGUCAGUGGCUCCCCACUGCCACAGCAUAGGCCAGACGUGGUAGUGCACACCUGUAGUCCCAGCUACUCAGGAGACUGAGGUGGGAGAAUUCUGAACUUCAAGACUAUACUGCACUAUGAUUGUGCCUAUGAAUAGCCACUGCAUUCUAGCCUGGGCAAUGUAGUGAGACCCCAUCUCUCAAAAAUGAAAUAAUGUUCCAUGAGGAGCAUCCACAGAGGAAGGUCCCUACCUUCCUCCAGUCUUGUCUCCAUCGCUCCGCUCCACACACCCCGCAAUAGAACUGCCUGCGUCCCCAGCCGUGCCUCAAAUGUUCCCAGCUCCGUUCCUUGGCCUGUGCCAUUCCUCCACCUGGAAAGCCCUUCACCCCAGUUCCAUGCUUUCAACUUCUACCUGUUCUUCCAGGCCUGCAUCAAAACUCUGUGGAAUAUGGCCCAGACCCUCGGUCCCACCCCCGACUGACUUUGGCCCCCUUGGGUCUCCUGUGGCGCUUCCUCUGACCCUCCUUUCUCUCACACCAACCCUGUCCUGUCUCCCCCACGGCAGUGAACUCCUGGGCUGAAGCCCCAGCCCAGGGCCUAGUGUGCAGCAAGUGCUCAGAAUGAGUGGAUGAAUGAGUCAGAGCAGGCCCGGGUGGGGGAAGCAAAAAUGUCCCAGAGUGGAGGCAGGGUGGCCACUGCUUCCUCCUCAGGGGAACUCUGUGCCCCCAAACACCAUGUUACACAGGAGGAGCAGCUUUCUUGCUGUGUCCCCACUGGCCCCUCCAGCCCUCCUUCACCCUAACUGAGCCAUCAAAACUGCGAACUAGCAAAACUGCAAGCUGAAUUCUGCUACUCCUUGGCUUAAAACUCUCCUCACCUCAGAAAUUCCUUAGUUUGGUGCCCAGGCUCUUCAUGUCCAUGGUGGGUACUUGCAGAGCUGCCUGAUCAGCUCACCACCACCCCUCUCCUGUGUACCCCACACACCCUCCCCCAUCACAGAGGAUUCAGAUGGACCCUGGUCCACACUCUGCCAAUCAGACUAUCUCUCUUACCCUGGGAAUAAAGCUUCCAAGAUGUGGAAUGUGUGUAAAUGCUGUAGGGGAGAUUAUGGUCCCCUCGGAGCCCAG
rnacentral:lncRNA from 1 species